rnacentral:rRNA from 1 species
GAUGAACGCUGGCGGCGUGCCUAAUACAUGCAAGUCGAGCGAAUGGAUUAAGAGCUUGCUCCUAUGAAGUUAGCGGCGGACGGGUGAGUAACACGUGGGUAACCUGCCCAUAAGACUGGGAUAACUCCGGGAAACCGGGGCUAAUACCGGAUAAUAUUUUGAACUGCAUGGUUCAAAAUUGAAAGGCGGCUUCGGCUGUCACUUAUGGAUGGACCCGCGUCGCAUUAGCUAGUUGGGGAGGUAACGGCUCACCAAGGCAACGAUGCGUAGCCGACCGGGGAGGGUGAUCGGCCACACUGGGACUGAGACACGGCCCAGACUCCUGCGGGAGGCAGCAGUAGGGAAUCUUCCGCAAUGGACGAAAGUCUGACGGAGCAACGCCGCGUGAGUGAUGAAGGCUUUCGGGUCGUAAAACUCUGUUGUUAGGGAAGAACAAGUGCUAGUUGAAUAAGCUGGCACCUUGACGGUACCUAACCAGAAAGCCACGGCUAACUACGUGCCAGCCGCCGCCGUAA